UAUCUUCGGAUAUGAGUAGAGCGGCGGACGGGUGAGUAACGCGUAGGAAUCUACCUAGUAGAAGGGGAUAGCCCGGGGAAACCCGGAUUAAUACCGUAUACCUCCUUCGGGAGAAAGAAGGCCUCUCUUUGAAGCUUUCGCUACUAGAUGAGCCUGCGUAAGAUUAGCUUGUUGGUGAGGUAAAGGCUCACCAAGGCAACGAUCUUUAGCUGGUCUGAGAGGACGAUCAGCCACAUUGGGACUGAGACACGGCCCAGACUCCUACGGGAGGCAGCAGUGGGGAAUAUUGGACAAUGGGCGCAAGCCUGAUCCAGCCAUACCGCGUGUGUGAAGAAGGCCUUCGGGUUGUAAAGCACUUUAAGCAGGGAGAAAAAGUUAUAAGCUAAUACCUUAUAACCUUGAUGUUACCUGCAGAAUAAGCACCGGCUAAUUCCGUGCCAGCAGCCGCGGUAAUACGGAAGGUGCAAGCGUUAAUCGGAAUUACUGGGCGUAAAGCGCGCGUAGGUGGUUUGUUAAGUUGGAUGUGAAAGCCCU
rnacentral:rRNA from 1 species